AUAACUUUCUCGGCCUUUGGGCUAAGAUCAAGCGUAGUAUCUGUUCUUAUCAGCUUGAUGUCUGAUAAGUGGGACAUCGUCCCACAUGUUAUUAAGUUUAUGUUUUUUAGGGGAAGAGCUCGCCACACUAGCUUGCUACUUGAGCCUUCAUGCGUCGGCCUCACGUUUCACUACAGCAAGGGCCUGGCACACCCCUU